rnacentral:rRNA from 1 species
GUAGUCUGCAACCCGACUACAUGAAGCUGGAAUCGCUAGUAAUCGCGAAUCAGAAUGUCGCGGUGAAUACGUUCCCGGGUCUUGUACACACCGCCCGUCANACCAUGGGAGUCGGAAAUGCCCGAAGUCAGUGACCCAACCGUAAGGAGGGAGCUGCCGAAGGUGGAGCCGGUAACUGGGGUGAAGUCGUAACAAGGUAGC